GAAACUUAGCUCUGUACAAUUCAUGCCGAUGAAACAUUGUGCAGAG
rnacentral:ncRNA from 1 species